rnacentral:lncRNA from 1 species
GUUAUUCCAAGCUGAAUGCAACGUGAGAUUUAAAGGUCAGCUCCUUCUCCUUUGGAAGUAGAUGGAGGUUUGUGUUUUGCAGGAAGCUGGAGCAAGUUCCAGGCUUUUCUCUGCCUGCUUGUUCCAGCAUUUUGGAAUUGUUGAGGUGAUGAGGAGAGCUGGAAGAGCGAGGGGGACACGACAGCAAGUUGGCACCUCGGUCAUAGAGGGGACAGAAUGGACAGGCACUGGGGUUCUGGUGCUACAAGAACCUUCCUGGUCUUGGCACAGCAGGUGUGGAGAUUUUGGAGCCUGCAGAGGUGCAUCUCGCUGACUGCAGCUCGCAGAAGGGAUAUGAAGAUCUGGGAAGCCCAUUCUCAUGAUGCAAGCCAAGCUCUGCUGCUCAGAAGAGACACAGGUGCUGCAUCAAGCUGACACAGCCCUGGCUGGAUGUACAUUUCCAGGUGUCCAGAUCUAUGCACUGUGUCCAUUGCCAAAUACAACUGCAGUGGUAUCAUGCCACACUGCCUACAGCACUUUGAACGUUGCCAGCAUGUGAGCACAAGCUGUAUCCUACUUGCUGGGGUACACCUGGCCCCAGCAGGCAACCAUCUCAAGCUGCUCCAUGAGAUCCCUCUGGCCCAUCCUUGCUGCCUGUGGUUCCUUGAUCACCAAUGCAAUCCUAAGUCUGCAAAGAAACACAUUUGCAAGAAAAGCCUGUUUCCAGUAGAAAUUACACUAAAAAUUCUUGGGAAUGUUCUUACUGUUAUGAUCGUAAAGAGCUUCUCUUAAUGACAUCUAAAUGUGGGGGUAAACUUCAGCUGAUGGCAUCUCAUUAAAACCAACAGAAUAAAAAUUCAAAUGUGUAUCUUCCCCUAAGUGUU